rnacentral:rRNA from 1 species
GACGAACGCUGGCGGCGUGCUUAACACAUGCAAGUCGAACGGAAAGGCCCUGCUUUUGUGGGGUGCUCGAGUGGCGAACGGGUGAGUAACACGUGAGUAACCUGCCCUUGACUUUGGGAUAACUUCAGGAAACUGGGGCUAAUACCGGAUAGGAUCUCCUGCUGCAUGGUGGGGGUUGGAAAGUUUCGGCGGUUGGGGAUGGACUCGCGGCUUAUCAGCUUGUUGGUGGGGUAGUGGCUUACCAAGGCUUUGACGGGUAGCCGGCCUGAGAGGGUGACCGGCAACAUUGGGAGUGAGAGACGGACCAGACUGCAACGGGAGGCAGCAGUGGGGAAUAUUGCACAAUGGGAGGAAGCCUGAUGCAGCAACGCCGCGUGCGGGAUGACGGCCUUCGGGUUGUAAACCGAUUUCGCCUGUGACGAAGCGUGAGUGACGGUAAUGGGUAAAGAAGCACCGGCUAACUACGUG